AGGCCUGUAGCUCAGCGGUAGAGCACUACCACCACGGGGUAGUGGGCGGUGGUUCGACCCCAACCAGGCCUA
rnacentral:tRNA from 1 species